CCUCCUCCUCCCACCUCGCCGCUGGCCCUCCCCUCCCCUCCUCCCACAUCACAGCUCGGGCAGCUACUGGAUCCGCCAUAUCCCCCAUCCACCCAUCCCUCUCACAUCCCAUGUCCUCUCUUGACAUAGCUCCUCGUUGCGCCACCUCCGGCGGCUGAUUCAGGCGACAUCCAGCGAAUCCCGCCAUCGUGAAGCACAGCCCGAGGUCCCCUUACACAGCGGCGCGCUCCCAUGCGGCUUGAUCCGGCGCUCGCGGCCACCAAAGCUCACCCGCGACCUUCCCCUGAUGGCUAUGUGGCCAUGUGGUCCUCCUCUCGCCGACUUUUUAGGAGUCUGAUGGUCAGGUUAUUUAGGUGGAGGUAGUAGCUUGCUAAUGGUGGCUUUCACGUCCAGCUCAAAUACUAGAGGAUGUGGACCUGUUGGGGCAAGCACGUACACCUUUGUUUUAGUGGGCAGGUUUCCAAAGGGAGAAAUACUCAAUGCCAUUCGGUGGUUUUCAAUGUGCCAUUCUCUA